UGUAGACCGGAGCUGUUCCUGUUCGGCCAUCUUGGCUCCUCCCUGCCAGAUAGCUCUUAUUUUGAGCUCUGAAGGCUGAGAACUUCAAGAUCAAGGCACCAGUAGACUCAGUGUCUUAUGAGUGCUACUAUUUGCUUCAAAGACGAUGCCUUCUUGCUAAAUCCUCUGCAGAAAAAUCAAAUGUAAAGAAAUACUUCAGAAAGAAGCCAGAAGGGAAAAACACCUUACCUACCAAGAAGAAAAGAAAAGAAUUAUACCCAACUUCUCCUCAGAGACCAUGCAAGCAAGAAGACAGCAAAGUAAAAUAUUUGAGGUGUUGAGGGAAAAAAACUACCAACCUAGAAUUUCAUGUCCUGCAAAAACUAUCCUCCAAAACUGAAGGAGAAAUAAAGAUGUUCUCAGACAAACAAAAAUUGUGGGAAUUUGUUGUCUGUAGGCCUGCCUUCCAAAAAAUGUUGAGAGAAAUUUUUUUAGAGAGAAGUAAAAUAAUAUCAGUCAAAAACUCAGAUCUAUAUCAAGAAGAACACUGGAAAACAAACAAGUGAAGGUAAAAUUAAAACUUGCAUUUUUCUUAUUCUUAAUUAAUCUAACAGAUAACACUUUGUCCAAAAUAAUGAUAGUAACAAUGUAUUUGAU
rnacentral:lncRNA from 10 species